AGUCAACAUGCCCAAAGGACGUGGAUAACCUCGGGAAACUGAGGAUAAACCGCGAUAGGCCAAGGUUUCUGGAAUGAGCCCUGGCCGAAAUCUAUAUGGCCUUUGGAUUGGACUGCGGCCGAUCAGGCUGUUGGUGAGGUAAUGGCCCACCAAACCUGUAACCGGUACGGGCUCUGAGAGGAGGAGCCCGGAGAUGGGUACUGAGAAAAGGACCCAGGCCCUAUGGGGCGCAGCAGGCGCGAAACCUCUGCAAUAGGCGAAAGCCUGACAGGGUUACUCUGAGUGACUUUCGCUAAGAAAGUCUUUUGACACCUCUAAAAAUGGUGUAGAAUAAGGGGUGGGCAAGUCUGGUGUCAGCCGCCGCGGUAAUACCAGCACCCCGAGUGGUCGGGACGAUUAUUGGGCCUAAAGCAUCCGUAGCCGGUUUUACAAGUCCUCCGUUAAAUCCAGCUGCUAACAGAUGGGCUGCGGAGGAUACUAUAAGACUAGGAGGCAGGAGAGGCAAGCGGUACUCAGUGGGUAGGGGUAAAAUCCGUUGAUCCAUUGAAGACCACCAGUGGCGAAGGCGGCUUGCCAGAAUGCGCUCGACGGUGAGGGAUGAAAGCUGGGGGAGCAAACCGGAUUAGAUACCCGGGUAGUCCCAACUGUAAACGAUGCAGACUCGGUGAUGGACUACCUUUAUACUAGUCCAGUGCCGCAGGGAAG
rnacentral:rRNA from 1 species